rnacentral:tRNA from 1 species
UUUAUUUUAACUCAGUGGUAGAGUAAUCCCAUGGUAAGGCGUAAGCCCUCGGUUCAAACCCGAUAAGGAGCU